AAUAAGAGAUGUUAGUGACAUAUUUUUGUGCUUUUGGUUAGUAAAUAAAAUGAGAAAAUCAAUAAUAUAAAAUUCAAGCAUGCUUGGUGAUCUCAAACCAACUCACAAGAGGUCCCACCCAAAGGUAAGGGAACCAAGAUGCUUAUGAUCCUUGAGGCAAUGUAAAAUGCAAUGUUAUGAUGUCAUGAGGGAUCUUAGGG
rnacentral:lncRNA from 1 species